GAUGAACGCUGGCGGCGUGCUUAACACAUGCAAGUCGAACGAAGCACUUUACUUGAUCUUUUCGGAGUGAUUGUUUUGUGACUGAGUGGCGGACGGGUGAGUAACGCGUGGGUAACCUGCCCCAGACCGGGGGAUAACAGUCGGAAACGACUGCUAAUACCGCAUAAGCGCACAGUGCCGCAUGGCACGGUGUGAAAAACUCCGGUGGUCUGGGAUGGACCCGCGUCCGAUUAGUUAGUUGGCGGGGUAACGGCCCACCAAGACCGCGAUCGGUAGCCGACCUGAGAGGGUGAACCGGCCACAUUGGGACUGAGACACGGCCCAGACUCCUACGGGAGGCAGCAGUGGGGAAUAUUGCACAAUGGAGGAAACUCUGAUGCAGCGACGCCGCGUGAGCGAAGAAGUAUUUCGGUAUGUAAAGCUCUGUCAGCAGGGAAGAUAAUGACGGUACCUGACCAAGAAGCCCCGGNUAACUACGUG
rnacentral:rRNA from 1 species